GAUAAACGCUGGCGGCGUGCAUGAGACAUGCAAGUCGAGCGAAGGAUCGGGCUUGCUCGAUCCUUAGUGGCGGACGGCUGAGUAACGCGUAGGUGACCUACCCCGAAGUGGGGAAUAACUGCCCGAAAGGGUGGCUAAUACCGCAUGUGGUCGCACGUUCAUUCGUGCGAGUAAAGCCGCAAGGCGCUUCGGGAGGGGCCUGCGUCCGAUUAGCUCGUUGGUGGGGUAAUGGCUUACCAAGGCAACGAUCGGUAGGUGGUCUGAGAGGACGAUCACCCAGACUGGGACUGAGACACGGCCCAGACUCCUACGGGAGGCAGCAGUCGGGAAUUUUGCUCAAUGGGGGAAACCCUGAAGCAGCAACGCCGCGUGAGGGAUGAAGGCCUUCGGGUUGUAAACCUCUUUUGUCAGGGACGAUGAUGACGGUACCUGGCGAAUAAGCCACGGCUAACUACGUG
rnacentral:rRNA from 1 species